UAGGGAAUCUCCCGCAAUGGACGCAAGUCUGACGGAGCAACGCCGCGUGAGUGAAGAAGGAUUUCGGUUCGUAAAACUCUGUUGUUAGAGAAGAACAGCGCAUAGAGUAACUGUUAUGCGUGUGACGGUAUCUAACCAGAAAGCCACGGCUAACUACGUGCCAGCAGCCGCGGUAAUACGUAGGUGGCAAGCGUUGUCCGGAUUUAUUGGGCGUAAAGCGAGCGCAGGCGGUCAAUUAAGUCUGAUGUGAAAGCCCCCGGCUCAACCGGGGAGGGUCAUUGGAAACUGGUUGACUUGAGUGCAGAAGAGGAGAGUGGAAUUCCAUGUGUAGCGGUGAAAUGCGUAGAUAUAUGGAGGAACACCAGUGGCGAAGGCGACUCUCUGGUCUGUAACUGACGCUGAGGCUCGAAAGCGUGGGUAGCAAACAGG
rnacentral:rRNA from 1 species